rnacentral:rRNA from 1 species
AGCGGCGGACGGGUGAGUAACGCGUAGGAAUCUACCUGGUAGUGGGGGACAACAUGGUGAAAACCAUGCUAAUACCGCAUACGCCCUAUGGGGGAAAGCGGGGGACCUUCGGGCCUCGCGCUAUCAGAUGAGCCUGCGUAGGAUUAGCUUGUUGGUGAGGUAAAGGCUCACCAAGGCGACGAUCCUUAGCUGGUCUGAGAGGAUGAUCAGCCACACUGGAACUGAGACACGGUCCAGACUCCUACGGGAGGCAGCAGUGGGGAAUAUUGCGCAAUGGGCGAAAGCCUGACGCAGCCAUGCCGCGUGUGUGAAGAAGGCCUUCGGGUUGUAAAGCACUUUCAAUUGGGAAGAAAGGUUGCGUGUUAAUAGCACGUAGCUGUGACGUUACCUUUAGAAGAAGCACCGGCUAACUCCGUGCCAGCAGCCGCGGUAAUACGGAGGGUGCGAGCGUUAAUCGGAAUUACUGGGCGUAAAGCGCGCGUAGGCGGUUUGUUAAGUCGGAUGUGAAAUCCCCGGGCUCAACCUGGGAAUGGCAUUCGAUACUGGCCGACUAGAGUACGAGAGAGGGAGGUAGAAUUCCACGUGUAGCGGUGAAAUGCGUAGAUAUGUGGAGGAAUACCGGUGGCGAAGGCGGCCUCCUGGCUCGAUACUGACGCUGAGGUGCGAAAGCGUGGGUAGCAAACAGGAUUAGAUACCCUGGUAGUCCACGCCGUAACGAUGUCUACUAGC